GGGUUAUUAGCUCAGUCGGUAGAGCAGGACGCUGUUAACGUCAAGGUCAUAGGUUCGAAUCCUUUAUAACCCG
rnacentral:tRNA from 1 species